GACGAACGCUGGCGGCGUGCCUAACACAUGCAAGUCGAACGAGAAAGUCCCUUCGGGGGCGAGUACAGUGGCGCACGGGUGAGUAACACGUGGAUAACCAACCCUCGGGUGGGGGAUAACAGUCCGAAAGGAUUGCUAAUCCCGCAUAAGACCACGGCAGCUGCGGCUGCUGAGGUAAAAGGCGCUUUAUUGAGUCGCCUGAGGACGGGUCCGCGUCCCAUUAGCUAGUUGGCGGGGUAAUGGCCCACCAAGGCGAUGAUGGGUAGCUGGUCUGAGAGGAUGACCAGCCACACUGGGACUGGAACACGGCCCAGACUCCUACGGGAGGCAGCAGUGAGGAAUAUUGCACAAUGGGCGAAAGCCUGAUGCAGCAACGCCGCGUGAGUGACGAAGGCCUUCGGGUUGUAAAGCUCUGUCGGGUGGGUAAGGAUGUGGUCCGGCUAACGACCGGAGUAGUGACGGUACACUCAAGGAAGCACCGGCCUAACUACCGUGCCACGCACGCCG
rnacentral:rRNA from 1 species